ensembl:lncRNA
CCUCUCUUAGACCUCAUGUAAGGGCUGACCCCCCACUGGGGAAGGGUCUCUGGUUGGAGAUUCCUCUUUUGUGGUGUUUUCUGCGUGAGCCUGGAUCUUCAGAGAUGGCAGCUCUGUUCAGCACAGCUCUGGUGAGCCGGCCUUCCUCCCAAUGGAGACAAGAACAGACAACUUUCUUUGCCUUUGGGCCUGAAUCUCAGCUAUUUGACAGUCGCAAAGUAGUAUUUCCAUGCAAUCUUUGCUGAACCAUAGAGGAUUUUUUUAUUUAAAUAGCAUGAUGUCUUUCAGUUCUGAGAGCUUGAGCUCACCCUGAGCACAGGCCUGCGUGCUGGGAACACUGAUUUUGGGAUUGCCAAAACAAACAACAGGUGUCUGUGUUGUUCUGCAAGUAGGAGUUUCUCAAACGUCAGAUCUGGCACAGGAGAUGCUUCCUUACAACACCAGGCGCCUUACCCCAGGGGCCCCUAGAGCCCUGGGUGGUGUAUUUACGGUAAAGAAGGCAGAGUUGAAAAAUAUGUUGAAAUCACCUUUGAGGAAAAAGCCUUUGAUUUGCCUUCCUAGUGGCUUGCUUAGCUGCAACAUUUAUGCUUUCAACAAUAAUAUGGAUCAGUAUCAGGUUUAAGAACAAUGGGAGCAGACACUCUGUGACUCAGGGCACAAACACAGCCUUUCUCCUGGAGUCUUGGCUCUGGAGAAGUGUGCAUGGGUGUAGCUACACUGAUGUCACUGUACCACCACAAACUCCUGGUCCUGAGGCAUGGUGAGGUUGGAGAAAGCACUUACACAAGUGUAAUUUGUCCCCAUGUGGAGCUGCAGUGAUGUCCAAGUGUUUUGUUGUGGUGGAUGUGAGCUAGACUGAAGUGAGACUGAAUGCUGCAGCCCUUCAAGUGGGACUUCUGUCCUCCAAGGGAUAAAGUUCCAGCUGGCUGCAAUGGAGCCAAGGGACCAUGCCUGGCCCAGCUGCAGCAUGGUGCUGGGCUCCCAGCUGGGCAGUGAAGGACAGAGACUGGCCCUGCUGGGACAAGGAGGGUUGGUUGGGGAUGGGAGAACUGACUGUGGGACUGUGGGGUUCUCAAUGCCAACGGCCUCCAACUGGGCUGCUCCCAGCACUGCUUGCAGAGGGAAGAAAAGAGCUGAUGGUGCUGGAACUGCUCUACGGUGGAACUGAAACAACAGCUUGUGGCGGUCUGAAUCAGUUCCCUUCUUUCAUAUAUUUGACUCAGAGCUGAGUAUUUCAGAGGCUCGGAAAGAGCAGGCUGAUUUCAAUUUUGGUUCUAAUAAUGGGCAAAGGUCACGGCAGCUGGAAAGAGAGGGGAAAUGAAAGGCAUGGGCUCGGCUGUUUUCUCUGAACCAGCUUCACCCGUUCCUGCUUACAGUCUCAGCAGAAUAAUAACUGAUACUAAGCAAAGCCAAGAAAUGAAAUUAACACAUGCAAAAUUACAUUAUGGCCAUGUCAGGAGCCCUGGUGCCAUGCGGUGCUAGCAAGGUCUGGCGCACAGGGCAAGGAGCGAGGAGCAGCUGGGGGCUGGCAGCGCAGCGUCCCACUGCCAUCCCCACACACGUACCC